CGCCGGGAGACUCUCCCCUUUACAUUUCAUAAGGAAAUUCCUUAUGAAAUGUAAAGGGGAGAGUCUUUCAGCU
rnacentral:pre_miRNA from 1 species